CAUUCCCUAUGAAACUUGGGUUCUUCGUUGUAUCAUUUGCAGGACUCCGAUUUCUUGAACUUCCAUUAAUUCCAAUUUGUACGACAUUAACUGCCACCGCAUGAAAUAAAACAAAAACAAAAACAAAACAAAAUUAACAUGCAUGUAAAGGGCAUCUAGAAAAUCACUUCAAGCUAAACUGGCCUAGGAAAUAAUAUGAAGGAUUUGAUGCGUUCAGAAGGACUAUCAGGAACAACCCUAUACCAGUCCUAAAAGUUAUUAGUGCAGGAUAAUACAAAAAUAAAAAUAAAAAAUUUUAAAUUAUAUAUAUUAAACCACAAUUAACCAUAGAUAUAUAAGGGAGCACAAAUCAUCAAACAGAUCAAACAAAAUGUCAAUGAAACUCGAAUUUUUUCGGACAGGCUUAACCCUGUUUGGACUUAAUGCAGAUUGCACACUAGGGUUGGUUGGUUCUCACAAAUGUCUACUGUGCUUGUUUCCCUAUUUCUACAAUUUUUUUCGUUUCCUACGUGUAUAGAAGAAGAAAAAAAAAAACCCUAUGCGACUACAGAUAUGCUUGAUGUCCUACACUGAGGGCAACAGAAUCUGCAUACUUUACCAACAUUGGAAGCAAAUAUCCCCUCAUGUUGAAACCUUUCCUUCCAAUCCAUACUCUGCAUUACGAAAAAUCAGCCUAGGCGGCAUGGGCGGGUCUGAGCGGCGCUAGGCGGGUCUGGGCGGCGCUAGGCGGUUCUGGGUGCCAGGGUGGGUCUGGUUUCUUUCAUUGGUUCUUUAAGCCCACUGCCUAGCGAUUUUUCAAACUUAUGCACUGCAGGGCUGGUCUAGGCGGCGCUGGGAGGGUCUGGGCGGCGCUAGGCUGGUCUAGGCGGGUCUAGGCGGCAGUAGGCGGGUCUAGGCGGCCCUAGACGGCUCUAGGAGGGUCUAGGCGGCGCUAGGCGGAUCUGGGUGCCAGGGUGGGUCUGGUUCUUUAGGGUUUAGGGUCUGCGUUUCAGGGUGUGUCUGAUUCAUAUGGGGAGAUGAUCCUGACCUGGAACUGACAGAACCUCCACCUGAUGUUGGUAAUAUCUUGGUUCUCUCGUAUAGAGCAGCAACAUGUACUAUUUAGGGUUUGAGGGUGUAUAUAUAAAGGAGGAGGGCUGGGGUUUUUUCAAGGGCGCAACAUAGAGUGGAGGAGUGAGUGAGGUGGAGGCAUAACGUGAGAUGUAAGCAAGAAAAGCUGAGCUGAAGCUUCGAAAAUGGAGAAAAUCAGGAGAGAGAGGGCCUCACAGCUCACGUUUUGCUUCGCAGCACGUCAUAACAGAACCAUAUAUAGGUCGGAGGCUCAGGCGGGCCCCAGCUAGCUCCAAAUCAAAAAC
rnacentral:lncRNA from 1 species